AUUUCUUCUUGAGUUUUAUGAUCUGUUGAUUUAUGAGGAAUUAUGUUAUGGAUUAAUCUUAUGCUUUCAUGUUUUGAAAGUUCUAAUCUACAGUUUAGGUGCCAUAGUCAAAAUUCAAAGCUGAAGAAGGUGUGGACUUGUCAAGCCCCAGCUAAGACAGAGUAGCUCGAGUUUUUUUAUUUGGUAGUGGGGGGUCCAUUUAGUGCAGAUUUAAUUAAUAUAAUAAAUGAAAAGAAAAUUCCAUGGUUGCC
rnacentral:misc_RNA from 1 species